rnacentral:rRNA from 1 species
CCCUCCCUACGGGAGGCAGCAGUGGGGAAUAUUGCACAAUGGGGGAAACCCUGAUGCAGCAACGCCGCGUGAGUGAAGAAGGUUUUCGGAUUGUAAAGCUCUGUUAGCAGGGAAGAGGAAGGACGGUACCUGCAGAGGAAGCCACGGCUAACUACGUGCCAGCAGCCGCGGUAAUACGUAGAUGGCAAGCGUUGUUCGGAAUAACUGGGCGUAAAGGAUGCGUAGGCGGCUAAACAAGUUAUAU